CCAACCCCAGACCAGGUUGUUUGUCCUUGGUUCACAGUUACCGGUGCCGACAGUGUCAGCGACAGGACCCCAGAUAAGGCUUGCUCGGCAUAAGGCCCCCUCCUCCCACCACCUGCCAGCCCCUGCUUAUCUGGGAAACCGACCCUGAGCUGCUACCCAGAGUCCGCUGCGCGGCCUCCAGCCCCAUGCUGAGCCACACCAGCUAAACAACACCGGGAGCACAAUGCUUUCUUCCCCCUUUUUUCCUUUUCCUCAUGCGUUUUUAUGAACAUCCACAGGGAAGAUAAUUAAAACCUGCAAGGAAACCAGCUGGCAGCGAAAAAGAAAAUCUUGGUGACUUGGGGACGACGCCACAUGUUUAUGGGAGCACAGCAGUGAUGUCGCCGAGGCUCUGCACCGGUGUGUGCACGGGUGUAGGUGCACACACACUCAUUAGAGGGACAACAAGGGAAGAGGAAGAGGCACAUGAGGGUCUUUAUUUAGCAAAGCGGAACAGAACAAAGGAGCGGGAGAGUGGCACCGCGUCACCUCUGAUUGGGUUUUCUGGCUACUAAGCGCGUAGACCUUAACUCGAAAGACAGAACUUCUGCCUUCCUCUCCCGAGUGCUGAGUGUUGUCUGAACGGCACCAAGAUUUGGGGGAGCCAGUGUAAUCCCCUUUCAUUUUUCAUCUGCCUUGCUGACUGCAAAGAGAAACAGGGCCGCUUGCCUCUCCGCGUGUGACACCGGGCUUGAGGCACGCACAUUCCAGAGUGGCCUUCCCCAGGAGCCAGCUGUGUGCAGGAGGAGAAACGUGCACGCUGCAGGCAUCUGUCACCAAGGCCAUGCCAACUCCCCAGUGGGGCAAUGUACAGACAACCUCAGAAUGAGAUUUUAGAAAUGAUGGGAUUCUCCAAGAAGAAAAGAAGUCUUUCUGGAAGAAAAGGCAGAGCAAGCCUAAAAAAGCAAUAUAAAGCAUUCCUCUUUGCACCCCGUAAAAACCCAGCCCCUCUUCCCUCUUGGUAGAUAGAAAAGGAAAUACCGUGCUGACAAAAAUACAACUUCUGACAAGAUAUUUUAUUUGGCUUACCUCUCCCCCAGGUCUUGCUAACACUGCUGUUUGAACGUGGAGCAGUGUUAAUAUCAGGUAGCUGACAAACAUUAUUACCCAAAGUUAGAACCACCCUAGAGGAGAACUCCGUCUGCCAAGUGCUAACAGCUAGCAGAUGCACUUGUGUCUCGGGAUUCCAGCCCUGGAGUUCCGCUAGGCACUGUGCUGGUUCCCUCCGCUCUCCCUCACUGUACUACCCGGAGCUCCGAGCUCAGCCUCUGCUCUGAAGAAAACUGGUGCGUGGCUUGUUUCCACCUUUUGGCUCCUGUGAAGAAUGCUGCUCUGAACAUGAGCGUACAAGUAUCUGUUUGAGUCCCUGCCCUCAGUUCUUUGGGGCACAUACCAAGGAGGAGAAGUGCUGUAUCAUACGGUAAUUCUACGUCUGACUUUUUCAGGAAGACCAAACUGUUUCCCACAGUGGCUGCAUCAUGUUCUAUUCCCCGCAGCAAUGCAUGACGGUUCCAAUUUCUCCGUAUCCUUUCCAAUGCUCAUUAUUUUCCACUGUUCUGAUAAUAGCUAUCUUAAGGGGUAUGAAAUAUAUGCCCUCCUUUCUGAACCACCCUCUUCCCUUAGCUCCCAGACCACCACUCUCGUUUUCCUUUGCCUCCAAUUAGCCAACAUUCCUCUAACACCAAGAGUCCCAGCUCUAUUCUGGGAACUUUACGUAUAGUGUGCCACAUGCUCCUGACAACAGCCUUAUUAGAUUAAAUAGCUUGCUCCAUGUCACAGAAUGGGUGGGUGGGCAGAGCCAGUCUUCUGGGCUCCUAGGACCUAGCUGUGAGUGCCUACGCUAUGCUGUCACCACCUCUCUGGACGCGCUCCAGUCCCCUUGCCCCAUCCUGGGCCUACCCCCUCAAUGGUUGUGCUCAUGCCCUCUCUUCUCUAUCCCCUCUCCUUGGGUCAUGUCAUUCUUUCACUGGCCUCAACCACUCUUUACGUGCCAGUGACUCUCCACAUCAGUCUACAGCCAGCUCUUCCUCCUGACCCGCCAGCCCGUAGAUCCCGUUGCCCCGUGGAUACUUGGAUCUCUCAAAUGCACUCCAAACUCAGCAGCACUAAAACCAAACUACUGGUUUCCUGACACCUGUUCUUCCUGUUUCCUCCAUUGAUGACGCCAGUGGAUGACAUCAUUACCCAUCUAACCCCCAGAAAACUGGGUGUCAUCUUGAGCCCGCUACUCCCUCACUUGCUUAUCUAAACCAUCACCUGGUCUGACUGAGUUUUCUCCGAUAGAUCUCUCCAGCUUGCCCAUGGCCUCGGACUCCUGCUGUCGCUGUUCCCAUCUGGGCCUCCAUCAUCUCUUCCUGACUUUUUGUAGCACAACCUGGCAAGGUCUCACGCUGGUCUUUUCCCUUCCAGCCUUCUUUUCCACUGCAACCUUUGGGGUUCAUCUUCCCAAUGAAUCUAAUCAUGUUACUCCUCUAAUUCUCUUUUUUUCCCCCUUUUUAUUUUGAAAUAAUUUUGUAUUUAUGGGGCAGGGGCAAGACAGCACAGAGUGUCAUGGUAUAUCUUCACCCAGCUCCUUCUGAUGUUAAGAUCUUAAGCAGCUAUGGUACAUUCAUGCAAACCAGAACAUUAACACUGGUCUGGUACUAACUAAAAUAAGGACUUAAUGUUAAUUUUUUCUCAGUUUCCUCUGAAAGUCCCUUUUCUGUUCCAGGACCCAAUCCAGGAUCCCACACUGCAUUUAG